UUGAUGGAACGUGAAGGAAUCGGCAUG
rnacentral:piRNA from 1 species